UAGAGUACUUCCUUGUUUUAGGAAUGAAGCGGUACAGUUGAAGCUGUGUGUGUUUUACCAAUCAGCGACGAUCAUCCCUACAAACUCCACCCGGAAAGUUACAGGACUUUCAGAAAGUACAACCCCACAACUGGGUCCUUUUUUCAGGGUAAAAUGUCCCCGUAACUUAAUUUAGACCCUGGUCCCUACAGUCGAAACUGCAAAGAGUUCCUCAAAAGGUUCUUAGUUCCGGAGGAAAGUUCCUGCGGUUGAAAAGGAGCUUCAGAAAUGUGAAAUCAUGCCAUUACCAGUGUUUAAUGUUUUUAUUAAUGUUCAUUACUGAUCAGUAUUUAUCAAUUCUAAAGAUCCACUCUCAGAUUAAUGUGAAUUUUGGCAGUAGGUGGGGCUGUCAGUUUUUCUUUUCCUCACUGAGGCCUGUCCUCUGUGUAAAUUGAUCAGAAAUGCAUUUUGACUGUGUUUGUCACAUGUUAAAGGCUGUGGGGGAGAUAACAGAGAAAACUGUGUGGUGGGAUUCAGUCUUCAGGGUUUUAUAAGUCAACAUCUAAGUAAAAGAUCUCUCUCCACACCUGUUAAACAGAGUUCUUUCUCUCACAACGUAGUAACAUGAACUUUUAUGGAAGAGAGAAGAAGAAGAAGCUGAAGGCACCCGUCAGUUACAACUUAACAAAGUCACAUAACCAGGUCAUUGUUUUAGUGCCAUAGCAGGUAUAAUAAAGACGGACAUGUUUUAAUAAGGUUUUUUUUGUUGUAAGUUGUCAAUCAGAACAAAGCUGUGUUUCACUGAACUCCUGGCAAACAAAUUUACUUUACUAAGAUCCGUGUUCACAGUUUUAAUGCAGCAGCAGCAGGAUUAUUCUCAGACGCCAGCCAACGUCAUGAGGAGGAUCACACGCUGAACCCAGGUCAGAAGAUGGAAAGCAUAUUAAACUUUGCCUGAUCUGUUUUCCAUGGGUAUAUUUGACAUCACACCAAGUUAUUUUAAUGAUUAAGGCUUCUUGAAACACAUUUCAAAAAUACAAUGCCGGGUGCUUUUGUUGUUCUCUUUUUUGAAAAGGGGGAAAAACACCAAUUUGCUCUUGUAUAUUUCAUCCUAUAAAGUCCUGUGAAGAAGUGCACGAGUUCACAUUGUGAUAAAUGUUUACACUGAGCCACUACAGUUUGUAUUCAAACCAAACACAAGUCAUUUGUGUUCAGUAUUUAUAUCGGUGUGUGUGCUGUAUUGUUUGUUAGUACCUUUUUGAAUUCCUGUUUGACGUGGGAUCCCAGAAACUGUGAAAUGUUUGCGUGAAAUAAAAAGGCAUUUGUAAGAGGAAAAAAAA